CGAAGACGUCAUCGGCGAACUGGAAGACACGACGGAGAUGAAGGAAUGGUUUAAUGAAGUGUUUGUGGCAAACAUGUCGGCGUACAUGUGCAGGUUUAGGAAGAGCUGCCCCCGUUUAACCACAUGCACCAGGAUCUGAAAGCUGAAAACGUGCGGUGUGGUUUUUCACCUUCUGCAGCGCUGCUACCAGAAUCUCUCGGGCGUCCUGGAACUGGGCGGAGUCAGUGCCGUGGCGCCGGGCGAGCUCCUCCAUACCAGCCAGCUCCACAGAGAACAGG